rnacentral:piRNA from 1 species
UAGCUUGUAUCUUACGGAUGUACUGUC